GUUUAAGACUAAGACGUAGAUAGGUCUGGUGUGUAAGCGGUGCGAGCCGUUGAGCUAACAGAUACUAAUUGCCCGAGAGGCUUAACUAUACAACGCUCAAGGGUUU
rnacentral:rRNA from 1 species